GGCAAGGGCAUGUGACAAUCAUCUGACAAGGUGCAGCAGUGCUAGGUGGAGGCUGGGGGAGGCCGCGUGGGGACGCACUUCAUUAAGCCCUAGAACUCAGAGCAGCAUGUGGCCUUAGGUGGCACUUCUCCAGCAGAGCUGAUCAGCAGUCACACAGAUGCUUUAAAAAUACAGGUGCUGGGCUGCGUGACAGACACACGGCCUGAGAAUCUCCUCUUAGGGUCAACUGGGCCAUUGGUCACAAGCACCAACACAGAAGAGCCUUUUAAAAUUGUUUCCUGUAGACCUGUUACAUAAAGACCUUCUAAAGAAGAACUUACAACACCUGUGUGCCCCUAAAUGAGGCCACUUAAAGACGACAUUUAAAAUCUCUCCUGUAGUGGGGUAACCAGUGGUAAUAUGUUGGGUUCAUAAAAACUCAAAUAACCUUGAUGUUUUUCACCUGUGUAGGUUUGUGGUGUGUGGAUGUAUUAACUAUUAUCAUUUGUGACACUGGAGAUUGAAUCCAGAGACUACCACUGAGCUACAUCUACAGUCCUUUUUUAAAUUAUUAUUUUGAGACAGGGUCUUGCUAAAUUGCUCAGGCUGGCCUUGAACUUUUGAUCCUCCUGCCUCAGCCUCCUGAACUGCUGAGACUACAGGUGGGGCCAUGUGCCUGGCUGAUGUGUGGAUUUAUGAGUCACUUCUGCUUUCCCGAUAUUGAUCAUCACAGACUCCUUAUUCUCUCAGAAUUGGGACUGGCCAUCCUUGCACAAGGCUGCAUGAGGAGAGGAGCCAGAGGCAGGAUCCUGGCUGGACUGUCCUUGCCAGGACUCUUGUUCUGAGAGUGAGAUCAGAGAGCGGAGGCUGCCCAGGGCUUUCCUGCCCACAGGUCCGAGCUGGCAAGGACGUAGAUUUGUCGCCCUCUAGUGGCAUCUUGUAACAACUGCAAGCAGGCUGAACUUGCUGUGCGGGGGGGGCCCCAGGUUGUUUUCAGAGGCAAAAGAGAUCCACCUGGUACCAACGGCCGCAGGCCACUUCCCCCACCUGAAGACAAGCAAGCCCUGUUGGGGAUCUGAAUGGCCACGAGGCCGCGGAGUGGAGUUCGUAUGCUCCUCUUCACUGCCCCACCUGCGCUGGUUAAACUCUGGGCCAGGCGAGGGCGAGUCUGGGUGGAGCAGUCGGACAGGUGAGGGAGCCUGAGUUUGACUCCCAGAUACCACUCUCCAGCUGCGGGAGCUGGGUCUAUGCUCUUUUUGAACUGAAAGUUCCCACUAUUAAAAUAAUUAGGAGAGGGGGUGAAAUGGAAACGGGGUGGAGCUGGAGUUCACCAUGUGCACUGAGGUAGGAAUGGAGAUGUUCUGCACGUCAGAGGGGUGAAGUGGCCUAGAGGCCUCAGUGUUGUCUGGGCCUCUACCCUGAAGUCCGGCCAGUGAACCUCUCUGCAGGAAAACAGGCAGAUUUACGCAGACCAGGAUAACUAAGGGUGAAACCAUCCCUUGCCUCAACAGUCAGACCAGGAUGAAAGGCAGCUGGGGACGCCCUGGGCAGAGGAUCAUCGCCCCCCCCCCAGAUCCCAGUCAAUGAUGAGCCUGUGGCUCCGCCAGCUGCAGGGACUUGGGGAGUGGGCUGAGGCGUUGUGACCCUGAAUUGCUAAUUGUGCUUCCCAGAGACCACAGGAGCAGAAAGGGAGCUCGGCCAAGGCCUGUGGAGGCUGCUUCAGUCAGCUCUUCUUCUCUGCUGUGACCAAAAGACCUGAGAAGAACAACGGUGGAGGAGGAGGAGUUUAUUUGGGAGCUCCCGGGUUCAGAGGUCUCAGUCCCUGGACAGCCGGCUCCAUUUCUCAGGGCUCGAGGUGAGGCAGGACACCAUGGCAGGAGAGUGUGGUGGAGGGAAGCAGCUCACCUGAUGAUCAGGAAGCAGAGGCUCCACUUGCCAGGUACAAGAUACAUACCCCACUGCCGCGCCCCAGUGCUCACCUCCUCCAGCAUGCCCUACCACUUAGUUUCCACGCAGUCAAUCCCAUCAGGGGUUAAUUCAGUGAUUGGUUUGAGGCUCCCAUAACUGGGUCAUUUCUCCUCUGAACCUUGCAUUGUCUCACAUGUGCUUUUGGGGGACACCUCACAUCCAAACCAUAACAGAGGCAGAGUGGGGACACAGGUGAGGGGCUCGGAUGACAUGCGCUUUGGCAUGGCCCCUCUUGGGUUACUUUACCCUCCAGUUCCCCGGGGGAAGGUUGAGAAAUGUCUAUUCAUGUAUGUUGACGACCUCACAAAGUGUGUCAAAUAUCCAGACUAAUCUUAGAAUCAGACGUCUUGCACUUUCUCAUCCCUCCUCUUUCAGAGGCACGACCCAAGAUGUCCUUUGAAGCCACUUUCCCACUGUUUUAUGUGGCCCUGGUGUGACUGUGAUCACAUCUGAAUAUGCUUUUUUAAAUAUUUAUUUUUUAGUUACAGGUGGACACAGCAUCUUUAUUUUUAUGUGGUGCUGAGGAUCGAACCCAGGGCCUCACGCAUGGUAGGUGCCCCAGCCCACGUCUGAACACCUUUUACAAACUGGGAGACGGUUGAUCUGGGAUGAGCUGCAGCCCAAGGCAGUCCCAGCUGCUUUCCAUCCUGGUCUGAUGGCCCAGUGGUCCCCCAGGGCCUGCCUAGCAGAAAAUGCCCGCUGCCCCACAGGUGUCCCCCUCUAUGCCAGAGCAAAGACUGCCGCAGCAUCCGGGGGCUGCCAUGGGCGAUGCCUGUGGAGACUCGGAGACCUCCUCUUAAGGACAGCCCCUCUCUACCUUUUCUUUCUUCUUUCUCUCCCAGAUGCAAAUGCAAACAGAACCAAGGGGAUGAGGCCCGCCCAGGUGUGGUGGGACCUGAGCUGGAGGCUGCUGGGCCCUGAAGGCCCUGAGACCUUCCCAGCCUGCACCAUUCCCCCGAUGGUGCUCACCCGGGGACUAAACUUCACGACGCUUCGCAGAGCUGCUGCUUGCAGCUGCACCUAAUAGUAACCACAGUACUUUGAAAUAAAUUCUUUUUUUGCUUAAUUGGACUGUUACUUCUGUUGUUUGCAACCAAAGAACCCUAACUGCUGUAGAGCGGGUACUUUGAAUCGUCUGUAGACAACGCCCUCUCCAGGCGAUGUGGAGACCUGGGAGCUGAUUAUCGGGUGCCUUUGGGCCAACAGGCAGUGGCGGUCUCAUUGCUGCUUGGAUGGCAGCUGGCAGCUCAUGGGGUCCUCUGGCACUCGACCUGGACCCACAAGCAUCUAGGUGCCAAGGGCAGAGCACUGGCAGAUGCCGUGGUUGAGAGAGAUAAGGACGUUCGUUCCCCUGUGGACGGGACGGCUGCUCCUGGAUAGUGCAUCACUGAAGGUGAGAAAAAUUAAUGACUUCACAUAUAGAAAUUCUCACUUCACAGCAUGCACUGAACUCAGAGGCUUGGUGUGACUUUGCUGAAAGAAUGUUUUGUGGGCCAUAGGGAACAAGCCUGAGGUCACUUGAAGUGGGACUCGGACAUUGGCUUUGUAGACUUCAGAGUGAUGUCAGGGCACAUGCCCAGCGUGGCAAAGUGCCUUCUGGGAAAGCGAGGGCAUUGUUGUGAAGCUCAGGAUACCCACAACCGGCAGGGAUUCUUGGUGAUUUGUCCCUUUGAAGACUGUGUGGCAGAUGGCAGUCUGCAGAGCCCUCACUGGAAUGCUCUAGAACGUGCGUCUGACUUCAGCACAGCCUGGGGACAUGGCUCAGAAUCAGAGUGGCAAAGAGGAGUCAAGUUACAAGAACUGCAGGGCUCCUGUACGGUCUGACCUCCAGGAGGCUUGCUGUGGUCUGCAUGUGAGUGUCCCCCAGCAGCUCCUGUGAGAUGGAGGGGAAGGGGUGGGUAGGAGGCCCUUAGCCCAAUCAGUGCAUGAAUCCACCUAACUGGAUAGGCAGGUGCCGUGUGGCUGGGGAAGGUGGGGCCCUGGGCCUUGCCUUUGGGAAACGGGUAUCUUGUCGCUGGUGAGUGGGGCACUGCUGCUUCCUUGACAGCAUGCCCUGGCUGCUUUCCUCCUCUAAACCCUUUGCCACGUUCACCUCGCCUCCGGCCCAGAGCAAAGGAGUCGGCCAUGUAUGGACUGAGACCUCGGAAACCGUGAGUCCAAAUCAAAUUUUCUUCCUUUAAAAUUGUUCUUCUCAGGUAUUUUGGUCACAGUGAUAUAAAAAGCAGACCUAAACAGUGCUGGACCAAGAAGAGUUGGGCCUCCUGUUGAUACUCUGAAUCUCGUCAGCUGAAGCUGGUUCAUGUCCCAGAAACCCUGCAUUUACCAAGCAGCCCUGGGACUCCCGGUGGCCGCGGUGCUGGCUAAGGCAAUUCUGCUCACAGCUUUGCAGGGGUGUGAUGCUAAAGGGCCAGAACCUCUGGUCUCAUGCAGAGGAGGGAGAUGGGCGCUGACGGACCCUCACACACAAGUCCCUGACAGUUUCUCCUUCCAUCGAGGCCUCGAGGUGAAAGCUGGAGAAUUCCUCUGAACCGUGUUCCUGGGCAGGCCAGAGGUAAUGACAGUCAGCAUUCAGCCCUGGGCACCUCUGCUACCUGUCACCCAGCCCCGCCCACAGCUCUGCCAGUUCCUCACUCCAGGGUCCUCGAUGGUGCCCUUCCCACCUGCCCAGAUAUGGCCCCACUGCAGGGUCACCCCUACGCAUGAUUGCUGAAAGGUCUGACUCUUGUCACCUUCCAUGGGACCCUUGGAGGAGUGGUGCCGGGCACCUCCUAUCCCUUUCCUAGCAGGAGAGCCAUGUGGACCUGGGAGCAUGCUGGCCGUAACCUGUGACACCCUAUUUUUUUGUUUGUUUACUUGUGGCUGGGGAUUGAAGCCAAAUUAACAAGAGAAAAGUAGAGGGUGGGGUGGUGCUCACCUGUGACCCCAGCUCCUCAGGAGGCCGGGCAGCAGUACGCAAGCCUGGGCACUUUAGAGAUACCUUGUCUCAAAUAUAAAAUGGGCUGCAGAUGCCGCUCAGCGGGACGGGGCUUGCCUCGUGUGUGCCAGGCCCCGGGUUACAUCCCCAGUGCCAGCUCCUGUCCCCAGGAAAGGAAAAGAAAGAAAGAAACAAAAAACCAACAACAACAAGGAAAGAAAAGCACACAAUUUAUUCAAAAUAAAUUUUACUUGACGUGGAAACCUUUGGGAGAAAAAGCCCUAAACACAGGGGCCUGUGCUGCUCGUUUCUGCAGUGCGGGCUGCACCCGGGCCCCAGGCCUGCUGGGCAAAUGCUCUGUGCAGAGCUACGCUCCAGUCGGGAAGAAGCGCUUGCUUGUUGGAAUGGAGUCUCACCAUGUUGCCUGCGCUGGCUUCGAGCUCCUGGGGAGGGGGCUAUUGCAGGCAGGUGGAGGGGCCUGUGGGGGUCAGGCAAGUGCCCCACCUUGGCUUCAGAGAAGCAGGUGUGUCCUGCCUGCCCUCCUGAGCCUGAGUAACCUUACCCUUGGGUUUGCUGGAGGGUGGACCAAGUGCACGACUGCGACUGAAGCCCAAGCUGGGACAUGGGAUGGCGAGCGAGCAGACGUGCGGGGCCUGUGUCUUCAGAGCAGGCCGCUCCUCUCCUCUGGCCGUAGGGAGGAGGUGCCUCCAAAACAAGGGUGGGAGCAGGUGAGGGGAACCUUCUGCUCCUGCUGUUUUCCUAAAGACGAAGGGGCCAUGUUUGGGGAUCCCGUUCUGAACCCUGUCACCCUAUGGCAGAGGGUUAGCAUGAGAGGGUUGACUCCGGGGCCGGGUGACACCACCCAGAUGGUCAGUCAGCUUUGUGUUUCACAGGUGUCUUGGGAGACUUUGAGAGAAGGUGGUUUGGAAUCCCUGGAGUUUGGGGCUGGUUGGGGGCUGGUACCACAGCCUGUCAUCUCCUGACAGUCUCCUGGGGCUGGGAUGACGGGGGUCGGGGAGCUGGGAUGAGGGGUGGGUGUCACCACAGGGCUGCUUUAGUCCCACUGCACCCUGACCUCUGGCUGCCUUUGGUGUAAAAAGUCAGGCAUUAUGAGGACAAAUUUCACUAUUUUAUCACUAUCCUCGAGGAUAGGGUUUAGAGAUGACUUUGGCUACUGUUCAUAUAAAAUUCUUUUUGAUUGAGGUCUUUGUGGUUUUGGAAUUCCUUGGAGGUUUUCUAGAUUUUGGUGGGAGCAUUUAUAACGAGGGUAAGGUUUAAUGUUAUGAGUGAAAUUUUGGGCUACAACAACGGGUCUUAGACUCAGUGAUGAGCCUGAUUCUGAUCUUAAUUCAUUUAAAACCCCUUUCCUCUGAAAGCACUCACGCUGACUCCGGGUUCCCAAGUCCAUCAUUUUGAAUAAGGAAGAAGUAGAAUGCGGAGCCUGUGGGUCUUGUCACAUCUCCACCUGGCCAAAGUGUCCAACUCCACUGUCUAUCCUGCGUCCAGAAGCAGAACAUGGGGCGCUAAGGUCAGUGUCCGCUCCCUGGGGUGUGGGUAAGUAAGCCACAGGACGACGCCGGGAGCAAUUGGACUGGGACCCGGUACUGUCACACCCCAGUGAAGCCAGAGCCAUUGCUUAGAAUGCUGGCCUCCUGGCCCGAGCUUGGGGGUGGUAAGGAGAGCAACUGAAGAUGAUUGCUAUGCUGUCUGUCUGCCUGAUGUUUUUCCUCAUGAGAGCAAAAUGACAAAUAGCCAAAUUGGACAGAUGUCAUAUACUAAAAUUGAUUUUUAAAGAAUUAUUUCUUGAGAUGGGGUCGUGCUAUGUUGCCCGGGCUGGCCUCAAACUCCAGGGCUCAAGUGCUCCUCCUGACAGGGGACUGGGAUGAUAGGGUGGGGGAGCCAGGAUGAGGGGAGGGUGCCUCCACAGGACUGAAUGCGCGCGGCCCUGGCUUGGAUCCCCAGCACUGCCAAGAAGGAAAAGUCCUAUAAAAGACACCCUUGAGGUAAGGUAUGGCCCCGCACAGCCACGCCUUCCUCUCCCAGGCCUCAGUGGAUGCUGGCACAACACUCAUUUCAGCAUUUGGGACAACAGUGACAGACCUGUGCCACUUAACUGCAUGGGAAGUAAAUCUGCAGGGUCUCUUGCAUUUCCGCAGGAGGCUUUCUGCCACCUUCCAGAGGAUACCUCUAGAGGGACAGUGGGGUGACAGAGCAGCUUCUCCUCCAGGUGAAGGACAGGGCAGGCGCGUCCUGCCUGUGGGAUAAAGUAGCACCCUUCCCGAGCCAACGGCAGGUGGGUCUGUGUGCAGCCCCCCUUGAAUGCUGGGGUUUUCUACGUUGGGGCCCCCAGCUGUGACACAUUCAACGUGUGCCAAAUCCGCCCUGCCCCUUCUCCAUCACCCUAUCAGUCAUGGGGCCAAGGGGCCUGUGAGCUUGUGGGGCUCUUGCUGUUUCUAUGUGGUCUGGCCCAGGAGCUCUGGAUCUUCAUCCAGGGUCCUCGAGGCCAGAGCGCUAAGUAGGGCAAAGUCCAGAACCUUCCCAGUGCUGACCAAAGACAGAGUAAAGCUGGAAGCAGACCCACGCUGGACCGUUUGCACUGCGGCAGGUGGAGUAGCACUGCCCUGCGUCAGCACCUAACAAGUACACGUCAGGGAAGUGACAGAGGGGACCCCGUGUGGCAGAGGGAAUUCAGGUGGCUGAUGAGCUGAUCUUCAGCUAGGGCGCAUUCUGGCUCAUGCCGACAUGGGGGCAGAAUGUAAGACGUUCACGAUUCUCAGCCUUCUAUUUUGGGCUGAAACUGAAAAAGAGUGAAUUUUGUUGUUCUGUGUCACAGGAUUGAGGAUUUUCUGUAACAACAGAGGAUUAUUCAUAUAGAAAAGUAAGGUGUACAUUUCCAGCUACACAUCUUUGGUCUGCGUUUUGUGAGCACUCCCUGGGGUGUGGCAGAAGGCAGGAUUUCUGGAGCAUCUAUUGUUUGUUCUGACAUUCCUGCAGACUUUCCAAUGCUCCUGUCUCUACGGAAGUCUGUGGGGUUCAGGAAGAGCUCCCACUCUGCUAGGGCAGCCUAGAACAUGGGCGUUUACGUAGCAGCAUGAAUGUCGCAGACGCAUGCGUGUUGGUGUGGCACACGGUACGUGGCCUGUGUGUUCCUGCUGACAGGCGCUGACUGGGCAUUCACCAAGCAGGAAGAGGAGAGCCACAGACCAACAGUGCAGAUGUUUUCCUUCUGUUUUAGAAAGGAUGGGCCUGCGAGGCCAGGUGGCAGAACACAAGAGGACUGUCCCCGAAGCCACUCUGGGUCAUCUAUUUUGCUGUAUAACACAACUGUGUACUGUCUCCCAUGGACACACCCAUCCCAACACACUGCAGAGCUCCUCACAGGAGUGCACGCUUCAGACACUCAAAUGCACACACAAACACGCAGGAACACAUGCAUGUGCCCGCACUCCCACAUAGACAGCUCACGCUGCCCCUGGACAGAGGAACUCAGGAACUGUUCCUCUGCACAUGUGCACAACACGCGUGCACACACAGGGGCUCCAUCUGGAGAGGCAGGGAUCUGCCCACUGCCACAAGGUGUGGCGAGGUGGCAACUGAGGCUGCAGCAGCGUGGACACGGUGGGAGGGGACAGAGAAGCAAGGAGCCUGUCUGUGGACUGUUAUCAGUAACCACACAGAAAGUCCAGAGGCCCUUGCUGUGCUAGAAAAAUACCACACUUCAUAAAACCCAUGUUUAUUCAAAAAAAUCUAUUCUGAAAUUCUGGAAAGCAUAAUAAAUACCUGUACAGUGGCCGCCGUCUCAAACGCAAAUACAAAGCGCUGACAUGAAACGAUCUGUAAACAUAACUGCUGAGCUUGUAAACAAAGUGCUGAGGCGGAGGAGCUGGGUGAGAAGCGAGUUCGACAGGACAACCAGGACGCUGCAUGGAGUCCCCUCCACUGUCCCCCACACCUGGGGACCUUUAGCGUCCUCUUCUGUUCUAGCACGCUGAUGACUCUCAGAAAGGUGAGGGGCAACAAAGCAAGUCCGAAAUGGAACGGAGAGCGAAAAGUGCGAGGCAAAGAUCCCGUGCGCAUCCUCAGAAGCGAUGCCAACCGUAAGCAGUGCUGGUUGACAUUAGGGGCCAUAGACCCUUGCAAAGCUGACCAGGCUUCCAAACGCAGUGUAGUGCAAAGUCCCUGCAGGCCUAACCUUGGGAUGAGCGAGUCCUUGGUCUUCCACGCGGACUCUGGGUGUGUGUACCAGGCUCCUCCCAAAUGAGGACUGUCAGAUGGGCCCUGGAGGGUGGCCUGAAGGACCGCUCAGCCUGGGGAAGGAGGCCUGGGUGUGGGCUGGGUUGCUCUUGGCGGAUUCUGUGGUGUGUGCUGUUCAGAGGGAUCACGUGCUCUGCAUGGGCAGGAAGGGCGACCGAACCUCCUGGGAGCCUGCGUCAUUUCUGCAAAGCAUCCGGGGCCUCUCAUCUAGUGGCAGGUCCAGGGACACCGGCAUCACACACCCCUGCUGCUCCGAAACCACCCUUUCAAGUUGAGUUGAAGGUGGUCCCCACAACUUCUUUGGGCUUUCUGCGGAAGGACGUCGGGUGUCAUUUUGUUGUGGGCGGGGGUGGGAAGGUCAGGCGUUUCACAGACUCGGCAGGGCUGAGCGGACAUCCUCUGGCGCGCAGGGAGACUCAUGUCAAGCAGAGUUUGGUGUGACGCCUCCUUGUCCCUUUGGCAUGCUUGUGGCUUAGAGCGUAAGGCAUAGAAACAGGCACUGCUGGAGAAGAGGACGCAGGCCAUGGAGCCCGCGCAGGGCGGGCCUGCCCUCUUCCUCUGGGAUGCGUCUCACCACUUGCCCAUCCUCUCCUCCUUGGAACCCAGCCACCCAGGCCAGCGGCUGUGGGCUGCUUGUGCCCAUGGAGCAGGCAAGAUUCAAGGGUCUUUUGCUCAUUUCCAGGGUGAACCGUGACUGGGGCCACCCCUUUUCCCUAGGUUUCUGACAAGAAGUGAGAUUAUCCAAAGCCAAAGUCCACAGGUCUCGUGGUGUUGUUUUCGCCUUGCGUAUUGGCUUUCUGUGGG
rnacentral:lncRNA from 1 species